ensembl:ncRNA T04C10.8 ncRNA
CGAGUGUCAGUGCGCGUGCUAGAGAGCACCAUUUGCAGUGAGACGCAGAUGGUUAGAAGUGUCCCCCAGAGAAAAGAGUGCGCAGAGAAAAAGGAGCCGGAUAGUGCGAGAGACACAGUGGCAGCGCACGGUGGUCAGA